AUACGGAGGGUGCGAGCGUUAAUCGGAAUUACUGGGCGUAAAGCGCACGCAGGCGGUCUGUUAAGCUAGAUGUGAAAGCCCCGCGCUCAACGUGGGAGGGUCAUUUAGAACUGGCAGACUAGAGUCUUGGAGAGGGGAGUGGAAUUCCAGGUGUAGCGGUGAAAUGCGUUGAUAUCUUGAGGAACACCGGUGGCGAAAGCGGCUCACUGGGUCUCUUCUGACGCUGAGGCACGAAAGCUAAGGUAGCAAACGGGAUUAGAUACCCCGGUAGUCUUAGCUGUAAACGAUGAGCACUUGAUUGGAGGGUCCUCCAUAGCCUUCCAGUCGUAGCGAAAGUGUUAAGUGCUCCGCCUGGGGAGUAUGGUCGCAAGGCUGAAACUCAAAGAAAUUGACGGGGGCUCACACAAGCGGUGGAGGAUGUGGCUUAAUUCGAGGCUACGCGAAGAACCUUAUCCUAGUCUUGACAUGUAUGGAUUAACCCUGUG
rnacentral:rRNA from 1 species